CAAUAGCGUAUAUUAAAGCUGUUGCGGUUAAAAAGCUCGUAGUUGGAUUUCUGUCAAGGACAACUGGUCCGCCCUCCGGGUGAGCACAUAGUUUGGUCUUGGCAUCUUGUUCAAAACUGUUAUUGCGCUUGGUUGUGUGGUGCAGUUUUGGGCACUUUCACUUUGAGGAAAUUGGAGUGUUUCAAGCAGGCACAUGCCUUUGGACACAGUAGCAUGGAAUAAUUAGAUUGGGCUUUUGCUCCAACUUGUCGGUUCCUGGAGCUGAGGUGAGAAUCAAUGGGGAUUGUUGGGGGCAUCUGAAUUUAGCCGUCAGAGGUGAAAUUCUUGGAUCUGCUAAAGACGGACUAUUGCGAAAGCAUUUGCCAAGGAUGUUUUCAUUGA
rnacentral:rRNA from 1 species